rnacentral:rRNA from 1 species
CAGCCGCCACGGGAAUACGUAGGGUGCAAGCGUUAAUCGGAAUUACUGGGCGUAAAGCGUGCGCAGGCGGUUUGUUAAGACAGAUGUGAAAUCCCCGGGCUCAACCUGGGAACUGCAUUUGUGACUGGCAAGCUAGAGUGUGGCAGAGGGGAGUGGAAUUCCGCGUGUAGCAGUGAAAUGCGUAGAUAUGCGGAGGAACACCGAUGGCAAAGGCAGCCCCCUGGGCCAACACUGACGCUCAUGCACGAAAGCGUGGGGAGCAAACAGGAUUAGAUACCCGAGUAGUCCCUGUCUCUUAUAA